GGUGGCUCAGUGGUAGAGUGCUUGCCUCACAUGUAUGAGGCCCUGGGUUCAAUUCCUCAGCACCA
rfam:Dipodomys ordii contig_70381, whole genome shotgun sequence.